UACGUAGGGCGCAAGCGUUGUCCGGAAUUAUUGGGCGUAAAGCGCGCGUAGGCGGCCCGGUAAGUCCGUUGUGAAAGUCAAAGGCUCAACCUUUGAACGCCGAUGGAUACUGUCGAGCUAGAGUCCGGAAGAGGCGGGUGGAAUUCCUGGUGUAGCGGUGGAAUGCGCAGAUAUCAGGAGGAACACCAACGGCGAAGGCAGCCCGCUGGGACGGUACUGACGCUAAGGCGCGAAAGCGUGGGGAGCGAACAGG
rnacentral:rRNA from 1 species